GAUCAAGUGCCUUAAGAGCAUUCGGUGGAUGCCUUGGCGCUGAGAGGCGAUGAAGGACGUGGUACGCUGCGAUAAGCCUUGGGGAGCUGCGAACGAGCUUUGAUCCAGGGAUUUCCGAAUGGGGAAACCCACCUUCGACCUUUCGUAUUGUGGGUUCAGGCGAAAGCCUGAGCCCACAAUACGAUUGGUCAGAUGAAGGUAUCAGACCUUGAAUAAAAUAGGGGUUUGAAGCGAACCCGGGGAACUGAAACAUCUCAGUACCCGGAGGAAAGGACAUCAACGAGACUCCGUCAGUAGUGGCGAGCGAACGCGGAUCAGGCCAGUGCCUUGUGUGAUUUUACCGGAACGGUCUGGAAAGGCCGGCGCGAUGGGUGACAGCCCCGUACGGGACGGAAGAACACAAGGACUCGAGUACGGCGG
rnacentral:rRNA from 1 species